rnacentral:rRNA from 1 species
UACGUAGGGGGCAAGCGUUGUCCGGAUUUAUUGGGCGUAAAGCGCGUGUAGGCGGCCAGGUAGGUCCGUUGUGAAAACUCGAGGCUCAACCUCGAGACGUCGGCGGAAACCAUCUGGCUAGAGUCCGGAAGAGGAGAGUGGAAUUCCUGGUGUAGCGGUGAAAUGCGCAGAUAUCAGGAAGAACACCCGUGGCGAAGGCGGCUCUCUGGGACGGUACUGACGCUGAGACGCGAAAGCGUGGGGAGCGAACAGG